GGAAACCUGGCUCCAGAGUGGGUGUUUGCGAUGGAGUGUGAACAGAGUCUGGUUCUGAAUGCAGACCUGACUGUCCACACUGGAAAAGGACAUCACAAGGGUGACCCAAGUUUGCUCAGCUAUAAAAUGGGGAUAAUGACCUUUGUGAAAUGCUGUCAGACCUGUGGAUGAAAAGUGCCCUAUAAGAGCUGCAUUUUGUUCCUGAAUCAGACUCGGGAUUCAGACCAGCCUUCAGGUAGCCACAGCAUGCAUCACCUUGUGUUCAAGGAUGUCAAAGUUCUUUGCAAACAAGGAAGAAAUAAGCCUGCCAGCCCUUCCUCCCCACUGCCCAGGCUAGCUCAGAGAUAUUAUGCCAUGUUACAGAAGAGGGAAACUGAGGCACGUCACUGAGUGGAGGUGACUUGUCCACGGUCCUCCAAAGCCUGGAACAGAUCCAAGAUCUCCUUGUGACGGUGUACCCCAUAAGGCUUUAUGGAAAAGGCUUAUGACUGCAGCUUAUGAAUGUAUAUAUGACAUAACUAGAAUAUGCUUUCUGCUAUAUAUGCCAUGUAAUAUAUCUAUGUAUAGGUUAUGCUCUACUGAAUACAUUCCUCCUAUUUGUAUGCAUGUAUCAUUUUUGUACUUGAAGUUAGGAAUAUUGUCUGUCUGUCUACUUGCUUGAUAGCCUUAGUAAAGCAUUUGGCCAGCAGAUUAAGUGUCCAAUCAAGAACCACUUAAGCCAACAAUGAACUUGGAGAUGCCAGUCUACAUUGGAGAUUUCCCAGGAAUGUGGCUUGGCUGGUAAGAAACUCAGUCAUGUAUGGACAUGUGACUUGCCCAUGUGACUCCAAAACUCCAUCUUGGAGCUGGAUUUUGUAUAGGAGAUAGGAGGCUCCACCCACAAGAGAAAGUCUACUUAAACCCCUGGGAGACCCCCCCCCCCGCCAUUUGGUCUUCAGCUGGCUGAAGGGACAGCCUCUCCACCCCAAGGAUGCCUGAAAGAAACUGGAACAAAGGACAGUAACUACAGGGGGUGUGAGAGUGAUUGCUGGACCCAGACUAGAAGGAGACUAGUCUGUAAAAGGAAGCUUACUGGAACUGGUGAGGUUUUUAUCUGUACUCAGUUGUCUUACUGUAUUAGACUCAGACUUGCGUGUUUUAUUUUAUUUUAAUUAAUAAUUCACUUUGUUCUGUCUGUUACUAUUUGGAACCACAUGAAUCCUACUUUCUGUA